rnacentral:rRNA from 1 species
CCCUUAGACGUUCUGGGCCGCACGCGCGCUACACUGACCAGUGCAACAAGCAUCCGUCCUUGGCCGACAGGCCCGGGCAAUCUUUGAACGCUGGUCGUGAUGGGGAUAGACUUUUGCAAUUUUUGGUCUUCAACGAGGAAUUCCUGGUAAACGCAAGUCAUCAACUUGCAUUGAUUACGUCCCUGCCCUUUGUACACACCGCCCGUCGCACCUACCGAUUGAAUGGUCCGGUGAAGCCUCCGGAUUGGCGCGCACCUCGGUGCCGCCGAGAAGUUGGCUAAACCUUACCAUUUAGAGGAAGGUGAAGUCGUAACA